AUGGAGAAGACUAUUGAACAUCCCCCAAUCCCCCAAUUGUCUUGCUGGAUCACUGUCAUUUCUCUCAGGUCAUCUUUAACAGUGUGGAGAAGUUCUGCAUCCCAGGAGGGGAUGUCACAUGUCAUUACACCUUCACCCAGCAUUUCAUCCCUCGUGGAAAGGACUGCAUUGGCAUCUUUAGAGUGGGAUGGAAGACAGCCCGUGAGCAUUACACCUUCAUGUGGGUUACUCUGCCCAUCGACCUAAACAACGAAUCAGCCAAACAGCAGGAAGUCCAAUGCAAAGCUUACUACCUGCCCGAGGAUGAUGAGUAUUGCCAGUUCUGCCAUGUGAUCAGGAUGGCGUGGUCUGGGGAGCAAGUAUUCCUUUCCAAUUCUGUCCAGAAAAUGAGGAAGACAUCCUGGUUGUUACCACUCAGGGAGAGGUGGAAGAGAUUCAACAGCAUAAUCCUUUGAAAGGAGCCUUGCAAAGAAAACCAGGAGCUGAAGGACAGCUGUGUCAGCCUCCAGAAACAGGCUGAGCUCCAAAAGAAGCCGGAGGAGCUAGAAACCCUACGGAGCAUCUGUAGAAGUGGGAACUGAAAGUGAAAAAGCAGGAUGACUAUUGGGAGACAGAGCUGCUUCAACUGAAAGAACAAAACCAGAAGAUGUCCUCAGAAAACAAGAUGGGGCCGGGCGCGAAGAUGGAAAUCAGAGUGGAUCAGCUUCAGGCCCAGCUGCCAACUCAAGAGAAAGAAAUGGAGAAGCUUGUUCAGGGAGAUCAAGAUAAGACAGAGCAGUUAGAGCAUCUGAAAAAAGAAAAUGACCACCUUUCUCAGUUUAACUGAGCAGAGGAAGGACCAGAAGAAGCUCGAGCAGACAGUGGAAGAGAGGAAGCAGAAUGAAAGUACUGCAAUGAAGAAGCAACAGGAAUUAAUGGAUGAAAACUUUGACCUGUCAAGAAGACUGACUGAGAACAAAAUGACAUGUAAUGUUCUGCAGAGAGAGAAACGGAGACUGGAAGGAGAAAAUGAUCCUCAGUUACAUGGGUCUGGAUUUUAACUCUUUGCCGUAUCAACUACCUACUUCAGAUGAAGGAGGCGCAGGACAAAAUCCAGGACUUGCCUAUGGAAACCCAUAUUCUGGUACCCAAGAAAGCUCUUCCCCAAGCCCACGCUCCAUCAGGAAAUGCCCCAUCUGCAAAGCAGAUGAUAUUUGUGAUCACACCUGGAGCCAGAGCAGAUGCAGGCCCUUUGUCUGAAUCGUCCGAUUUGUGGCAAGACCCUCCCAGCAAGAGAGAGGCAGAUCUUUGAAGACCACGUGUUCUGCCACUCUCCAUGGGCAUCCAGCCUCCUGGAUAUAUACAGAGAUUUUAUAGAGUAG